rnacentral:rRNA from 1 species
AUUGAACGCUGGCGGCAGGCCUAACACAUGCAAGUCGAGCGGAUGAAGGGAGCUUGCUCCUGGAUUCAGCGGCGGACGGGUGAGUAAUGCCUAGGAAUCUGCCUGGUAGUUGGGGAUAACGUCCGGAAACGGGCGCUAAUACCGCAUACGUCCUGAGGGAGAAAGUGGGGGAUCUUCGGACCUCACGCUAUCAGAUGAGCCUAGGUCGGAUUAGCUAGUUGGUGGGGUAAAGGCCUACCAAGGCGACGAUCCGUAACUGGUCUGAGAGGAUGAUCAGUCACACUGGAACUGAGACACGGUCCAGACUCCUACGGGAGGCAGCAGUGGGGAAUAGUGGACAAUGGGCGAAAGCCUGAUCCAGCCAUGCCGCGUGUGUGAAGAAGGUCUUCGGAUUGUAAAGCACUUUAAGUUGGGAGGAAGGGCAGUAAGUUAAUACCUUGCUGUUUUGACGUUACCAACAGAAUAAGCACCGGCUAACUUCGUG